CUCCUGCGGGCGGCUGGGGUGCGGGAUGCUGGCACCCCGGGCGUUCCCGAGGCCGGGCAGACAGGACCCCCGGCCCCCGGACACUGGCUUUUCCAACUUUCUGGUCGCUAGGAGCAAAGUCCCCCGCGGUCCUGGGGCCACAGAAACACCUACGUCGCUCCCUCUGACGCACCUGAUUUCCGCCUGCCGCACGGGGUCUAAAUUUCCUUCCCAGGUGUAGGAAAUUGCUGUCUUUGACCGACCUCUCCGCUUACUUCAGGGAGGAUCUCUUUUUUUUUGCAAAACGUAAGCUAAAAACCAAUGGAUGAGGUUUGAAGAGUGUGUUCACUUUUUGAUCUCUCUAGGAUUAAGUCAGUAAGCCGUAGAUUUCAUGUCCUUCCUGAUGGACUCUGAAGUUACGAUUGCUCUAGCUGUGGACUUAUCCUAAUGCAGCCAUUCAAACGCAAAGAUGUAAACGCUGCAAAGUGACAAGACUUGGGACAUGCAAAAAGCCAAAGAGAAUAAAAAUGGAAAACCUGGGGGUGAUAUACAAUUAAAAUGGACAAAUAGAUUAAAAAUGUGUUUGUCCUGCGAAAUCCAUAAAUCCACUACCUUCUUUUAAACAUCAGAUUCUUGGAAAUUAGAGAUUCAUUAUACUCCUAUCAAACAUAAUGUACACUGUUAUACAUUAGGGGAGCAUACUCCGUUUCUAAUUUUUCUUUGCUUCGUAGUGCCAGGGUUGUGCCAGAUUCCUCUGUAAGUACUAUCAGAUCAGCAAAUCAAUGUACUGUUCUGCCUCAGUUCAUAGCUGCAUUAACAUUCUCUAGCCUUCCCUGCUGCUAGAUGUAGCCAGUAGGUUUAGCUUAUUGAAGCAAACAAAAACUUUGAGAAACUUCCAUUCUCUUUUCCUGUCUGUGGUCAAAGAGUAAAGAAAGCAGAAAGGCAAAUUAGAAGAAGUCUGGGCCCCUGAAUGACUCUUUGAGUAGAGCAUCAUUAUGAAUGCCUCUUUUGGAUUCUACAUGAUCAAAGUGAACUGUUCUGUUAUGUUUAGCAGUUAGUCUUAUCCUAAGCAGCAGACAUGGGUGUCAAGAAUGAGCAACAGAAGCCGAGCUGUGGUGGCACACGCACUUGGCAGGCAGAGGCUGGUGGAUCUCUGAGUUCAAGGCCAGCCUGGUCUAUAGAGCAAGUUCCAGGUCAGCCAAGGCUACAGAAAAUCCCUGUCUCAGAAAACCAAAACCAAAACCAACCAACCAACAAAAGAAUGAGCAACAGAGGAAUUUUUGCCCUUGAAGAGCUCACAGUGUAUUCCAUUGUAUUCGUCACAAUUUGUCAUCAUUUUUCACCUUGUUUACUUUGUUGGUCGCCUGCUUCUCUCAUAGGAGCAAGGACCCCAUCUGUUUUCUCCUUUGUGCCUACCGUCUACUGUGUUAUUGACACAGGGAAUUCUGAUACACUUGUCAAAUAGAAAGUUGGAUAAAUGAAAGACAUUGGACUAAGUCAGCCAUAUCUGCCCUUCUAGAGCUUACAGAAUGUAGUAGGUAGAGAUAGGUUAAGUUAAUGACUAGUGAAUAUGUAAUUGCAAAGUGUGUGUGAAGUAUGAUUAAAGAGUGCUAGCAGGCAAUCUACUGUAGAUCUUAGAUUCAGGGAUAACCAGCCAGAAGUGACAGCUAACCUGGAACCUGAAGAAAGGAGGAAUUAGCUAAACUAAGUCAGUGAAGACUUUUCUAUGCAAUGCCUUGGUGUGGAGGUCACUUGGCAGAUUUUAGGGCCAAACAAGGAGUGGUGAGAAGGAUCAAGAGGAAGUUAAGAGCAAAUCUUAUGAACCUUGUUGGCCACAGUAUGUGUUUGGGUUGCAGCAAUGGAAAUCCGUUGAGGGUUUUGAAGUAGGGCAUGACAUGAUCAGAUUGGUGACUUAAAAAUAUAGAUAGAUACGUGCAUGAGAUUUAAAAAAAAUAGAAAUCAUAAUACCUUUGGUAUAUGGUGGAAGGGGACUUCAAGGAUGUGGACUGAACAGUGAAGUGUUCAUCACAGCAGUGCAGGAUGGCUUGUGCUAUCUAUGAUCCAUGGCCACCAGGCAAAAUCUUGGGAUCAUGUAUUCUACAAGAGCCGUGUGGGGCUGGUCUAGUCCUAGCAUCUGCUCAGGUUAAGAACGCCAUUGGUUUUUAUAAAAGUUCUAGAGGAUUUUAGAGGUAAAGGAGAAUGGGCACAUUUGAGGUGUAUUUUGGUGGCGGGUUGGAAAGCACUUAGUAAAUUGGCAUCAAAGAUAAAACGCUCCGAAAUGCUAGGUUUCGAGUGAGAACCAGGUUGAAAGACCAUUUGCAGAGGGAAGCUACAGUGGAGUGAGAGGAGGUUUGAAAGUAAGGUGUUUACUUUUCAGCUUUAGGAAAAACACUUCUGAGCUAUGACUUGAUUGUCCAGAAGGCAAGGUUUUCUCAGAGGACCAUUCCAGUUUGUCCCUUGUUGAAGUAGACGGGGAUGCUCAUGGGAGGGGAGCACUCCCACCUGCUGAAAACUUGAGAUGUUAAGUGACUUGAAGCAAACAUGGGAUCCAGUUCUGGAGUAAAGCUGAUAUUCAUGGGAAAUAAAGGGGAAAUGCUAUGUGUAGUGUUUUAUUGACAGGUCUUCAGAGGGUGACAAGCUCAGGUAAUUAUACACGAAACUGAGUGUGCGCAGGUAUUUCUGCUUCCUUUUGCUUUUUAUUUGUAGUGUUUGGAUUAUUCAGUUAUUUAAGUAAGCCUUCCUCAGUAGUCCCUGUAGUUUUCAAAACUUUCAAGUUCUGUUUCUGAGUUGCUCAUCUUUCACUGAAUGAUUUUUUUCUUUACCAGUAACCUCACAGUCUGCUGUCUGCUUUGGAUUUUCUCUUUGAAAAAUUUCCCACCAUGGUUCUAAGGAGCCAAAUAACAUCAGACAAUAAAAGGAACAAGAGACUUUGCUCUGA